UCUCAGUGAGUUCUCAAGGUGUUCAUCAGAGAUUUUUGACCUAUAUUUUCCCUUCUUGCACUUCAUCCUUGAUGUUGAUUACAAAUAUACAUACUGCCAAAAAGCAAUGGCAUCAAUAAGGUGUGACUGUGAAGCAAGGGAUAUCUCUCUCUCUUAUAAAAGUCUAGAAGAACACAAGGGUACUUCAUAAACUUCAAGUAAUUGAAGUUCUGCUUUAUCUGCUUUUCAUUCCCUAAUGGACCUUCGUCCCCCAAAAGACUGAGAUGAGAUGGGUAUGUCCUGAUUAAUGCGGACUAUUUACCAUUUCUGCUGAUAAGCUGGGGGGAUGCAUUAAAUCUGCCUCAGCAAGUGGCAGUGAAGUUUCAAAUAGUAACGAGGACAGCUGCAUCUUCAUUGACUCCUGAAAGUCAAGUGUCUCUAAACCCUUUCUCAGCUUAUAAGACUGCUGAUGUGAUUCAUUUAGUUAUGAAACUGUAACAUCAAGGUUUUUUGCUGUCUUUUGUGUUGGUGGAAAUACUACUAGCUUUAGUUACGAUGACAUUCCAGGUAUUACUUUCUAUGGUUUUUGGACAGUAGUUCGUAUCAAGCCAGAGACAUAUGCUGAAUGAGCAGUAAAACAGCCCACAUCCUAGACUGGAAUUUGAAGCUAUAGAGGUAGACAAGUAGUUGAUAAUUACAUGAGGAAAUGAUGGAUCUGAGUGCUCAGCUUCCUCAGCUUUGUGCAUCUCAGACUUCAUGGAUCAGUACUGCAUGUUCUUGUUGUCUGAGAAAGAAACAGUAGUGAUUACUUGGAAUAUUGCAAGCCCUUUUUGUGCUUGUCAAGGUGGUUUUAGCUCGUUAUAUGUUUUUUGUUGUUUUUUCCUGCAGUACUGAAAAACUGCAUGAAAUUUAGAUUUCAAAUGCACCUGAGCAUAAUCUCAAUUUGAAAGCAGAGGGGAAAGAAGUAGCUACUUUGCUCAUUUCUGCUUCAAAAUAGAGUAAAAGCGGGAUCAGAAAUGUAUAUAGUCCUCUGGUAGUGGACUGCCAAUAUAGUCUUUGCCAGCACAAUUCAGAAUGCCAGUCUCUCCUCCUUGUAAUUCCUCUGCUGCUAAAGAAUCAGUGGACCAGUAGCCACUACUCCCUUUCUUUUUUCCAUACCUUUAGCAGCAGUCUUGUAGUUUGCAGCUCUUGCCUGACCUUUUGUUCUUUGUUUAUGCUUUUUUUUUUUUUUUUUUUUUUUUUUUUUUUUUUAACCCUCCUCCCAGCUGCAUUCAUUUCCUUAGUGGUCAGUGAACUUUCCCAGCCCCCUCUAACUACUUCCUUGUUUCUGCUGCUCUGACCAUGUUCAAUUUUACUCUCAAGGAAGACAACAGUUUCCUUGGGAGGACUUCUACUGUUUCUACAGGACUGAGAAGCCUUGAAAUUAUCCCAAGCAGAGGUUUGUUUUUUCCUCCUCUGGAUGACGGCUCUGUUCAUAUUAGAGAAACUGUAAUGUAAUUAGUGUUGCAAUUUCAGUGGUGCAAACUACCUUACUUGUAAAAAUAUGAAUGUACCUGCUUUAUUAUAUAUUUAUUCUAAUAAUUCAGACAACUUAAUCUGACCAGUAAAAAUUUUACUGCUUGCUACUCUCUUUUGAAAUCCACCUUAGUGCCAUGUUCCUCAAAGAAAAGGUGAAGUACACUCCUGAUCAAAGAUUGUGAGUGCUACUGAACUGCCAACAUCUUGCACAACUUACAUUGCCAGUCUGUGGGAAGGACAGAAAAAAAUCUUGGAAGCUGGCAAAAUUAUACUUCAGGACAAGAUCAUUCUAGGUACUUUUUUUUUCUUCCUUUUUCUAUUUUCUUUCCUUUAAUUAUAAUUAUUUAUAAUUAUUAUAAUAUAAAUAAUCAAUAAAUAUAUAAA
ensembl:lncRNA